rnacentral:rRNA from 1 species
GAGCUAUUGGCUUUGAAUUGUAUUGUGGAAAUGUAUUACCAACAGAGGUGCAGGUGCCAGCCUAUUGAAAUAAAGCGUCAAUGAGGGUGAGAAUCCUGUUUGUCAUGUGCAGCCCUUUGUGCACGGUGUAUAUUUGCUGAGUCACACUCCUUGGCAUUGGAAUGCAAAGUGGGUGGUAAGUUUCAUGUAAAGGUAAACAUGCAAUUGAGACUGAUAGCACACAAGUACCAUGAGGGAAAUAUGAAAAGGACUUUGAAAAGAGAAUUAAAUGAGUUUGUAUUUGCUGAACACAAAGUAAACAGACUUGAUUUGCUUGGUGGGAGUGUUGCACUUGCUUGACAAGAGCUUUGGGCUGUGGGUGUAAUGAUUCUUUCUUUGCAUGCCAGUUUCUAUUUGUACAUCUGAUUACCUUUGCACAUGAAUGAUAAGUCUCCUGUGGGGGGUGGAUUGCAUGUGCAUGUAAUGAUUUGUGUUUUGAUAAAUGUGUCUGGUGUAUGUGUGUGUUCCUGUGCUUGGGGAUGCUUCCUUCCUUGGACUUACAAGCCCUGACACACACAUGCUGGCAAAAUGCUUCUGCUUGACCCGUCUUGAAACACGGACCAAGGAGUCUAACAGAUGUGCAAAGUUUGAAGGUGGUAUACCUUUGUGUGCAAUGAAAGUGUCAGCUGGGAUAUGUGCACCAGCACCCAAUUAAUUAGCGGACAGAGGUUUGAGUUGGAGCAUAUCUAUUAGGACCCGAAAGAUGGUGAACUAUGCCUGAACAGAAUGAAUUCAGAGGAAACUCUGAUGGAGGUUCGUAUCGAUACUGACGUGCAAAUCGUUCGUCAUAUUUGGGUAUAGGGGCGAAAGACUAAUCGAACCAUCUAGUAGCUGGUUCCCUCCGAAGUUUCCCUCAGGAUAGCUGGAGUUGCUCAGUUUUAUCAGGUAAAGCGAAUGAUUAGAGGAAUUGGGGACAGGUUUGUCUUUGACCUAUUCUCAAACUUUAAAUGGGUAAUAUGUAGUGGUUGCUGUAUGGAACUUCUAAGAUAAAUGGCAAUAUUGGGUGGGCCAUUUUUGGUAAGCAGAACUGGCGAUGAGGGAUGAACCUA